rnacentral:rRNA from 1 species
UUUAGUGGCGGACGGGUGAGUAACACGUAAGAACCUGCCUCUAGGACGGGGACAACAGUUGGAAACGACUGCUAAACCCGGAUGAGCCGAAAGGUAAAAGAUUAAUCGCCUAGAGAGGGGCUUGCGUCUGAUUAGCUAGUUGGUGAGGUAAGAGCCCACCAAGGCGACGAUCAGUAGCUGGUCUGAGAGGAUGAUCAGCCACACUGGGACUGAGACACGGCCCAGACUCCUACGGGAGGCAGCAGUGGGGAAUUUUCCGCAAUGGGCGAAAGCCUGACGGAGCAAGACCGCGUGGGGGAGGAAGGUUCUUGGAUUGUCAACCCCUUUUCUCAGGGAAGAACACAAUGACGGUACCUGAGGAAAAAGCAUCGGCUAACUCCGUGCCAGCAGCCGCGGUAAUACGGGGGAUGCAAGCGUUAUCCGGAAUGAUUGGGCGUAAAGAGUCCGUAGGUAGUCAUCCAAGUCUGCUGUUAAAGAGCGAGGCUUAACUUCGUAAAGGCAGUGGAAACUGGAAGACUAGAGUGUAGUAGGGGCAGAGGGAAUUCCUGGUGUAGCGGUGAAAUGCGUAGAGAUCAGGAAGAACACCGGUGGCGAAGGCGCUCUGCUGGGCUAUAACUGACACUGAGGGACGAAAGCUAGGGGAGCGAAUGGGAUUAGAUACCCCAGUAGUCCUAGCGGUAAACGAUGGAAACUAGGUGUGGCCUGUAUCGACCCGGGCCGUGCCGAAGCAAACGCGUUAAGUUUCCCGCCUGGGGAGUACGCACGCAAGUGUGAAACUCAAAGGAAUUGACGGGGGCCCGCACAAGCGGUGGAGUAUGUGGUUUAAUUCGAUGCAACGCGAAGAACCUUACCAGGACUUGACAUCUCUGGAAUCUCCUUGAAAGGGGAGAGUGCCGUAAGGAACCAGAAGACAGGUGCUGCAUGGCUGUCGUCAGCUCGUGUCGUGAGAUGUUGGGUUAAGUCCCGCAACGAGCGCAACCCUCGUCGUUAGUUGCCAUCAUUAAGUUGGGAACUCUAGCGAGACUGCCGGUGACAAACCGGAGGAAGGUGAGGAUGACGUCAAGUCAGCAUGGCCCUUACGUCCUGGGCGACACACGUACUACAAUGCGAGGGACACAGAGCAGCCAACCCGCGAGGGAGAGCGAAUCUCACAAACCCUGGCACAGUUCAGAUUGCAGGCUGCAACUCGCCUGCAUGAAGGAGGAAUCGCUAGUAAUCGCAGGUCAGCAUACUGCGGUGAAUCCGUUCCCGGGCCUUGUACACACCGCCCGUCACACCAUGGAAGUGAGCCACGCCCGAAGUCAUUACUCUAACCCUUUCGGGGGAGGAGGGUGCCGAAGGCGGGGUUGAUGACUGGGGU